GGAGGCGAUGCACAGACUCCGUCGCAGGUCGGGACGCGCACGACCCUCGCCGGGCCCCUGUACGAACACUUUGAAAGCGUGGUGGGGGGCAACCCCUCACGAGUUCGAAUCUCGUAUCCUCCGCCA
rnacentral:tRNA from 1 species